rnacentral:rRNA from 1 species
AACGAACGCUGGCGGCAUGCCUAACACAUGCAAGUCGAACGAAGUCUUCGGACUUAGUGGCGCACGGGUGCGUAACGCGUGGGAAUCUGCCCUUGGGUGCGGAAUAACUUCUCGAAAGGGAUGCUAAUACCGCAUAAUGUCGUAAGACCAAAGAUUUAUCGCCCAAGGAUGAGCCCGCGUAAGAUUAGCUAGUUGGUGGGGUAAAAGCCGUACCAAGGCGACGAUCUUUAGCUGGUCUGAGAGGAUGAUCAGCCACACUGGGACUGAGACACGGCCCAGACUCCUACGGGAGGCAGCAGUGGGAAUAUUGCGCAAUGGGACGAAA